rnacentral:rRNA from 1 species
UACGAAGGGAGCUAGCGUUGUUCGGAAUUACUGGGCGUAAAGCGCGCGUAGGCGGCUUUGUAAGUUAGAGGUGAAAGCCCGGAGCUCAACUCCGGAAUUGCCUUUAAGACUGCAUCGCUAGAAUCAUGGAGAGGUGAGUGGAAUUCCGAGUGUAGAGGUGAAAUUCGUAGAUAUUCGGAAGAACACCAGUGGCGAAGGCGACUCACUGGACAUGUAUUGACGCUGAGG